rnacentral:lncRNA from 1 species
ACAUGUUGUAUGUCAUUUUGGCAUAAAGUUUGGAUUCUGAUUAUCUUCAGAUUUCUUUCAGAUUUUUUGUAUUGUUAACUUCUUCAGAAGAUUUAGAAAUUUACUUUUGGAAGAAAUUUGUUAAUACAAACCAAUUUGAAAAAGAUUCUAUUAAAUCAUGAAUAUGGAUGAUAUGAUUUAAUUAAAAGAUUUGGAUUUGAUUUAGUCAAAGAAGAUUUG